GGCACACAAUAAUAAUUUAACAAAACAAUUGUAAUUAUUACUGAUAACAUACACUAAGAUAUAUCAGAAUUAUAGGAGUCUCCCAUAACUUUGGAACACAUACCAGUAACAUAUUUGCACAAAUAUAGCCCAAAGAAAGCCAAACACCAUUUUAUAUUUGACAAUGCUUCCUGUAUAAUUUUCAUACCAAAUAAGCCAAACUUCACCUUUACAUUAGUGUACUAUGAAUGUUAAACCCAAUUCUUAAUAAAUCCUCAUAGACAUAUUUACCCAAUUUUAAUGUUUGACCAUAAGGUAAGAUUUUAUAGACUUUUUAUAACCCUUUACAAUUUUUGUUAAAGAGCAAGUUAGUGCUCUAAGAGAAACCCAUUGUGCUUUUAUUUCAAUGCUCAAUUUACAGAAAAACUGGAUGAUUCCCUUUUAACUUUAGCCAAUAUUUUACACACAGAAUUUCCUCUACAAUUAACCUUCCACAGCUUGCUUAAACCUUUAUCUUUAUUGUAUCCAACUUAAAACAAUCCUUUAACCUUUUAAUCGAGGCAAAAAUCCACAUUCUCAUGCCUCCUUAUAAUCUUUUACCAAAAGUAUAUUUUACUUUCCUUACACACCUUGUAUGUAAACUGUUUCUUCAAUAGUCUUAAAAUACAUGUUACACUGUUAACUCUUAGCAACCUUUACUUUUGGUGAAAACCUUGGUAAGUUUGGGAUUUUAGCUGUGUACUAGGUGUGGAGGCUAGGACCUAGACAGAAGUGCAAAUAAGGUCUGACUUAUUCCAGCAUCUAACUCCAUGUGUCCCAGGCCUUACCUAGCUGUAAAGCAGGCAAGUUGUACAGCUAAGAGUCAUAGUAGCAUUUUAUAAAGCAUUUAGGAGGCCUAAUCACCUUUAAAUUGUACAAUAUUUCUUGCAUAAAUUCCCUUUCAUAAAUUCUUUCCCAGGCCAGGCACAGUGGCUCAUGCCUAUAAUCCCAGCACUUUGGGAGGCUAAGGUGGCCAGAUCACCUGAGGUCAGGAGUUCAAGACCAGCUUGGACAACUUGGUGAAACCUCAUCUCUACAAAAAUACAAACAUUAGCUGGGCAUGAUGGUGGGUGCCUGUAAUCCCAGUUACUUGGGAGGCUGGGGCAGGAGAAUCGCUUGAACCUGGGAGACAGAGGUUGCAGUGAGCCGAGACUGCACCAUUGCACUCCAGCCUGAGUGACAGAGCAAGACUCCAUCUCAAAAAAAAAAAAAAAAAAAAAAAAAA
rnacentral:lncRNA from 1 species